UUUGUACAGUAUAAAGUAUCGCGCUCAGUUAAAAAACCAUAACUAGAUUAAUUAUGAGUUCCGUAACAAAGGAAUGUAAAAAUAAGUUCAUACCAGACAAUAUUGAUGAUUUCUUAACGUUUGAGCCUAAACAAUCGCCAAAAUGUAAAAAGACUCUAAAGCGCCGUAAACUAGUUGAUGAAAUGGAUCAAGACAUUUAUCGAAAAGAUGUUUACAAUAAAAAAGGGAAAAAAAGUAACAAAAUUACUGAUGACUUGCAAAUAUGUUGCGAAUAUAAACAGAAGAUAUUGAAUAAUAUGAACGAGCAAUUAGACUCUGGAAAACAAAUGAACGAAACUAUACAAAAGAAAGUUUCUGAUUUCAUAAGAGAUUUAGAGAGAGAUUAUUCUGUCUUAAAAAACAAUGUAAAAGAGUUGGAAGAAUUCACUACGUCCACUAUGAAUUGCCUGCAUCAAACUACAACUGCGAUUAAGCAAAAAAUUGAUAUUUUAAAGGAAAUGGAUCAGACUUAUAAAAAACAAUGUAAAGCUACGAACGAAACACACCAAUUAGAAAUAAACCAAUUGGAGGAAGAUUUAAAUAGAGAGGUGGAGAAAGUGAAACAAAAAUUGGCAUCUGAAACUAAGAAGAGUUAUUUAGAAAUGUUUCAACGUUCCU